rnacentral:lncRNA from 1 species
GCCUCCGACCUGCUGAGGCCCCAGUCAAAGGAUGAACGAAGGGUUUGCAAUGUGAAAUUACGCGGGUGUAUUAGGGUCAGUAGACUGCGAUGAAAGAAUAUGCUGGAAUAUUCCCCCACCGUCACGGGGUAUUUAUGUAAAUGUCAUUGGGUCGGUUUCCGGGCCCUAUAUAAGGGGCGUGAUACCGCCAUUAAUAAGAGAGGGCAUUCAUUGUGUUCACCUACUGUUGAGCCCGCUGCUCGUCGGAGCUCAGACCUCUCACGGCACCGAGUGAGAAGGUUCUCUAUUCAUCGUACUGCUGGGGAGUGCGGAGAGCCUCUUCCCAAC